AGACCUGGUCGUAGAGCCACGACCAACUAAAAAUAAAGAAAGCUCACUGAGA
rnacentral:sRNA from 12 species